rnacentral:rRNA from 2 species
GGGGGCUAUACAUGCAAGUCGAACGCACUCUCGUUUAGAUUGAAGGAGCUUGCUCCUGAUUGAUAAACAUUUGAGUGAGUGGCGGACGGGUGAGUAACACGUGGGUAACCUGCCCUAAAGUGGGGGAUAACAUUUGGAAACAGAUGCUAAUACCGCAUAAAACCUAACACCGCAUGGUGUAGGGUUGAAAGAUGGUUUCGGCUAUCACUUUAGGAUGGACCCGCGGUGCAUUAGUUAGUUGGUGAGGUAAAGGCUCACCAAGACCGUGAUGCAUAGCCGACCUGAGAGGGUAAUCGGCCACACUGGGACUGAGACACGGCCCAGACUCCUACGGGAGGCAGCAGUAGGGAAUCUUCCACAAUGGACGAAAGUCUGAUGGAGCAACGCCGCGUGAGUGAAGAAGGUUUUCGGAUCGUAAAACUCUGUUGUUGGAGAAGAAUGUAUCUGAUAGUAACUGAUCAGGUAGUGACGGUAUCCAACCAGAAAGCCACGGCUAACUACGUGCCAGCAGCCGCGGUAAUACGUAGGUGGCAAGCGUUGUCCGGAUUUAUUGGGCGUAAAGCGAGCGCAGGCGGUUUCUUAAGUCUGAUGUGAAAGCCUUCGGC